CAAAUCUCUCCCAUGGUGUGUGUACGCCCAGCUCUCCAUUCGUUUCCUAUGGGGCUUCCGGAUAUUGCCUAGCACUGAGGCCCCUAGACAAGUUCCAGGGGCUGAUUCCAAGAUACGGAAACCUGAUAAUACCAGCGGCUUUAUCUGAAUUAUUCCCCAGAAAAAAAAUAUCUGAAAUAAUGCGAUACAGAUGCCCAAAGGAAUGAAGCUACUACACAACAUCUCCAGAAGUGAAGGAAAGGACACAACUGGGAAUAUGGGUAAAGUUGUAGGAAGAGGUCACAGAGAGAACAGUCGUCUGGAAUUCAGCCUUCAAAUAUCUGAUCCGUCAUUAUUGUGACUUAUUUUAUGGACCUUUGUGAGAGGGAGAGAUAUAUUCAAAAAUAUCCAAAAUGUUAGUGGGCGAGUCAAGAUGGAGAAGGAUGUUAAAUAAUUAUGGAAA